UCUUUCAUCUCCUGUCUGCCCAACAUUCUUAAACAAGGCAUGAAAAUGAGACAUCUUCCCCUUUUCCUUGGGCAUCAUUUUUCCAGCAUGAUGCUGAUCAAAUGCUCUUCAUUCUGAAACAUGCUGAGAGCUGCAUGAGGUGGUAGGCAUUAAAGCUCAGGACACCAGGGAAAUGGCAAGGCUUUGGCUGUCUGGAAAAUACCAACCCUCUUCUAGAGGAGCCCACUAACGCUGGUGACUGUGCUGAGCCUAAACAAAACCCGUGCUGCUUUCCCUCUCCCUUCCUCCUUCCUUGCACUCUUAAGUCAAGUAAUUGGUAAUAGUUUAAAACACGUUUUUAGCCAAAACUUUUAAGAGCUGCAAACCGAGUUACUGGCAGGUUUUUAACCUCUCUUCUUGCAAUGGAAAGCAGCUGAUGCAUGUUUGGAAAUCUCCUUGCAGGCUGCCAGAACCUGGGACUCAAUUAAUAAAACAAAUGUGCCUAUGAACUGCAGCAGAGCCCUUUUGACCUUCAUAAAAUCCUAAAUCUUUAGUGAAUCUGUUUCAAGAGCUCGAAUCUACUUGCAGCUUAUAUUUGCACAGUCUUGCUAGAUAGCUUAUUGCCUUGCCAUGCCACUAAACGGAUGACCCUUGCAGGCACACAGCCUUUCCAGAUGACUGGCAAUUCAGAAAGCCUCACCAGAGAGAGGGUUACGUUUCUGUGCUCUGUUGCUUGAUACAACUUCUGUCUGACUAAUUGUCACUUAGGACAGAGCGAGCUGCUCCUAUUCCUUGCACAGUGCAAACACUGGUGAUGCGGAAGGGUUUGCCAUUUCUGUGCUGCCCUGUGUGCAGGAUCAGCUUCCUUCUCAUUCCCUUUCAUGCGGAAGAGAGAGCAGCAUCCCUCCUCAUGCAGGCUGGCAGAGUGGCAGGAGGCAUCUGGCACUCUUUUAAGGUCGGUAUGUUUGAGCCCCAGGUUUGGAGGCUCCUCUGGAGCAGGGUGACCCCAAUAUUUUAAGGCAGUAUGGGAAUAUUCCUUGCCAGCUGUGUGAUGUUGGUGAGUUUGAAGCCCAGUCUCCAAACAAUUGCUCUUUGGCUCAUGGAGAGACGGGUGUUUAACCAUGGAGCUGACUAAUGCUGGCUCGUGCUUGUGUUUCUAUGCCAUCGGUCUUGUGGCUGCACUAAAAAGCACACUGCAGGCAUUCAAAUAGGGUUUCUUGGCAUUUUAAGUGGGUACAGAAAAGCUACUGGUUGGAAAGGCACCUCCAAGGUUUUGACUCAUGAAUGUGCUUUUGUUAUUUGCCAAAAGGAGAUAAAAGAUCAAAAGCAAGAUACAGGUCUUGUAAGGGAUCCUGCCAGCCUCCUUCGCUCUUUAAAACCUCAUUCUGGCCAACAGUGUUCAGCAAAGAAAAGAUGAGGAACAUCACUGAUGUUGUUCUUUGCUCUGAACUCAAGUCCUGAAGUCAUGUCAGUGCAAAGUGCAGAGGAAGGGAGGUUGGUGAAGCUGUUUCUCGAGAUCCAGGUGAGCCUUCAGCACAAGAGGGUCCAGAGGUUUGUGCAUCCCCAGCUGCAGCUCCACUUUUCUCUCCUUCCAUGGACCAGAGCAAUGACUGCAGUUUCCCUAGAGACAAUGCUGCCGGUUCUCAAGGAGACAGGUAGCUCUGAAGGGGAACACUGAUGUGUUUGCUCCGCAGCCUCUUCAGAUGGAAGGUUUGGCUGAACUUCUGGAAGACAACUUAAUAACUGAGCAGUCAGCAUCAACGCAGACUAUUAAAACCUGCAUUGAGGAGUAUCCAGUCUCUCAAGGACUUUAAUACAUGCAAAGGCAUCCCUCCCCUGGAGAGCCAGUAGGCUGCAACAGAAAAUUAAGUGUAACACUACUGCUGUAUGCACUUCCCUUUCUGCUCAUGUGUCAUAACCUGGCCCUACCAUGGCUGAGAGACGCAGAGUCAGAUGAUUGAUCUCUUCAAACUGGAGCUGGACAGGGAAAAACCUGAAGACUUUCCAGUGGGCAUAUGAAUGUGGGAGAAUUACUGCACCAUCCAGUGAUCUCCAUGCACUUCAGCUCCUGGAGUCAUAUUGUUGGGCAGGGUCUUUGUUCUCCUACUUAGAAGAAAAAAGCUUUGCAGACUUGCAGAGCAGUUUCAUCUCAGAAGCACUCAACCUGAAGACCAGCAGAAAG